rnacentral:rRNA from 1 species
GACGAACCGUGCGAACGUUGUUCGGAAUCACUGGGCUUAAAGGGCGCGUAGGCGGGUGACCAAGUCAGGGGUGAAAUCUUUCGGCCCAACCGGAAAAGUGCCUCUGAUACUGGUCGUCUUGAGGGAGGUAGGGGUCGAGGGAACUGGUGGUGGAGCGGUGAAAUGCGUAGAUAUCAGGAGGAACACCUAUAGCGAAGGCAGCUUGCUGGGACGUUACUGACGCUAAGGCGCGAAAGCGUGGGGAGCGAACAGG